rnacentral:rRNA from 1 species
GACGAACGCUGGCGGCGUGCCUAAUACAUGCAAGUAGAACGCUGAAGGAGGAGCUUGCUUCUCUGGAUGAGUUGCGCACGGGUGAGUAACGCGUAGGUAACCUGCCUGGUAGCGGGGGAUAACUAUUGGAAACGAUAGCUAAUACCGCAUAAUAGCAGUUGUUGCAUGACAACUGUUUGAAAGGUGCAAUUGCACCACUACCAGAUGGACCUGCGUUGUAUUAGCUAGUUGGUGGGGUAACGGCUCACCAAGGCGACGAUACAUAGCCGACCUGGGAGGGUGAUCGGCCACACUGGGACUGAGACACGGCCCAGACUCCUACGGGAGGCAGCAGUAGGGAAUCUUCGGCAAUGGACGGAAGUCUGACCGAGCAACGCCGCGUGAGUGAAGAAGGGUUUCGGAUCGUAAAGCUCUGUUGUAAGAGAAGAACGAGUGUGAGAGUGGAAAGUUCACACUGUGACGGUAUCUUACCAGAAAGGGACGGCUAACUACGUG